ACUCCUACGGGAGGCAGCAGUGGGGAAUUUUGGACAAUGGGGGCAACCCUGAUCCAGCCAUGCCGCGUGUGUGAAGAAGGCCUUCGGGUUGUAAAGCACUUUCGGCCGGAACGAAAUCGCGCGGGUGAAUAUCCCGCGUGGAUGACGGUACCGGAAGAAGAAGCACCGGCUAACUACGUGCCAGCAGCCGCGGUAAUACGUAGGGUGCAAGCGUUAAUCGGAAUUACUGGGCGUAAAGUGUGCGCAGGUGGCUGAGCAAGUCGAGUGUGAAAUCCCCGGGCUUAACUUGGGAAUUGCGCUCGAAACUACUUGGCUCGAGUGUGGCAGAGGAAGGUGGAAUUCCACGUGUAGCGGUGAAAUGCGUAGAGAUGUGGAGGAACACCGAUGGCGAAGGCAGCCUUCUGGGCCAACACUGACGCUCAUGCACGAAAGCGUGGGGAGCAAACAGGAUUAAAACUCAAAGGAAUUGACGGGNGCCCGCACAAGCGGUGGAUGAUGUGGUNNAAUUCGAUGCAACGCGAAAAACCUUACCUACCCUUGACAUGCUAGGAAUCCUGCAGAAAUGCAGGAGUGCCCGAAAGGGAACCUAGACACAGGUGCUGCAUGGCUGUCGUCAGCUCGUGUCGUGAGAUGUUGGGUUAAGUCCCGCAACGAGCGCAACCCUUGCCAUUAGUUGCUACAUUCAGUUGAGCACUCUAAUGGGACUGCCGGUGACAAACCGGAGGAAGGUGGGGAUGACGUCAAGUCCUCAUGGCCCUUAUGGGUAGGGCUACACACGUCAUACAAUGGCGCGUACAGAGGGUUGCCAACCCGCGAGGGGGAGCCAAUCCCAGAAAGCGCGUCGUAGUCCGGAUUGAAGUCUGCAACUCGACUUCAUGAAGUCGGAAUCGCUAGUAAUCGCGGAUCAGCAUGUCGCGGUGAAUACGUUCCCGGGCCUUGUACACACCGCCCGUCACACCAUGGGAGUGGGUUUCACCAGAAGCAGGUGCCUAACCG
rnacentral:rRNA from 1 species